AGCGGCGGACGGGUGAGUAACGCGUGGGUAACCUGCCCUGUACACACGGAUAACAUACCGAAAGGUAUGCUAAUACGAGAUAAUAUGCUUUUAUCGCAUGGUAGAAGUAUCAAAGCUUUUGCGGUACAGGAUGGACCCGCGUCUGAUUAGCUAGUUGGUAAGGUAACGGCUUACCAAGGCGACGAUCAGUAGCCGACCUGAGAGGGUGAUCGGCCACAUUGGAACUGAGACACGGUCCAAACUCCUACGGGAGGCAGCAGUGGGGAAUAUUGCACAAUGGGCAAAAGCCUGAUGCAGCAACGCCGCGUGAGCGAUGAAGGCCUUCGGGUCGUAAAGCUCUGUCCUCAAGGAAGAUAAUGACGGUACUUGAGGAGGAAGCCCCGGCUAACUACGUGCCAGCAGCCGCGGUAAUACGUAGGGGGCUAGCGUUAUCCGGAAUUACUGGGCGUAAAGGGUGCGUAGGUGGUUUCUUAAGUCAGAGGUGAAAGGCUACGGCUCAACCGUAGUAAGCCUUUGAAACUGGGAAACUUGAGUGCAGGAGAGGAGAGUGGAAUUCCUAGUGUAGCGGUGAAAUGCGUAGAUAUUAGGAGGAACACCAGUUGCGAAGGCGGCUCUCUGGACUGUAACUGACACUGAGGCACGAAAGCGUGGGGAGCAAACAGGAUUAGAUACCCUGGUAGUCCACGCCGUAAACGAUGAGUACUAGCUGU
rnacentral:rRNA from 1 species